GAUCUUAUAAGUUUGGUUUCUCUUUGAACUUUCAGAGAAGGGCUUGGAGAGGGGUAUGAUGGGGAUGUUGCUUUUGCAAGUGCUCUUGAAACUUUUGGCGGAGGGCAUAAUGAUCCUAUUUGUGUUGCUUUUGGAGGCCCUGUUAUGAACAAAUUUACUAUUGCUUUGAGAGACAUUGGGACAUACAAGGAAGUUCUUAGGUCACAGGUAGAGCACAUUCUAAAUGAUAGAUUGCUGCAGUUUGUGAACGUGGACCUGCAAGACAUCAAGGAAGCACGAAAACGUUUUGACAAAGCUUCCCUCAUAUAUGACCAGGCACGAGAUAAGUUUCUGUCAUUAAGGAAGAGCACAAGGAUGGAUGUAGCCAAUUCUGUAGAGGAAGAACUAUACAAUGCAAGAUCCUCUUUUGAGCAAGCACGUUUUCACUUGGUUAGUUCUCUUUCUAUUGUCGAGGCCAAGAAAAGAUUUGAGUUUCUUGAGGCUGUUAGUGGGACAAUGGAUGCUCAUAUUCGAUACUUUAAGCAGGGGUACGAACUUUUGCAUCAGCUGGAACCUUUUAUUAACCAGGUCUUAGCUUAUGCACAACAGUCUAGAGAAUGCUCCAACUAUGAGCAAGCAUCUCUUAAUGAAAGGGUGCAAGAAUACGUGAGACAGAUUGAUCGAGAAAGCAAGCACAACUUAAAUGGAGGUCUUGGUUCUCCUAAUGGAGAGGGUCUGCGACUUUUUGCUAGGAGUUCACAAAAAGUGAUAGAGGCAGUUAUGCAAUCUGCUGCAAAGGGGAAGGUUCAAACCAUUCGACAAGGUUAUUUAUCAAAGCGAUCCUCAAAUUUGAGAGGUGAUUGGAAAAGAAGGUUUUUUGUUCUUGAUAGUCAAGGGAUGCUGUAUUAUUACCGCAAACCUUUCAGCUGGGUAUCCGGAACUGGAAGUCAAUCUUCUGUGCAGAGGAAUGUUUCCACUGAAAAUGGACCUGGGUUGCUGAGUCGGUGGCUUUCUUCUCAUUAUCAUGGUGGAGUUCAUGAUGAAAAAUCCGUUGCACGUCACACUGUAAACCUGUUAACAUCAACAAUAAAGGCUGAUGCAGAUCAGUCAGAUUUAAGAUUCUGCUUCAGAAUUAUUUCACCAAUGAAAGUUUACACUUUACAGGCAGAGAAUGCACUGGACCAAAUUGACUGGAUUGAAAAGAUUACAGGAGUGAUUACUUCAUUAUUGAGUUUCCAAACACCUGAAAGACACCUGUCUACUAGUCACAUGGGUGAUAAUCACUCUGUCAGUGACAGUAGCUCAUUGGCGGAUUGUCAUGACAUUGAUCAGACAGAGAUUGAGGAGUUCACAUCUAAUAACAUGACCACUAGAAGUCACUUACAUUCAUCUAAAAAUUCACAACAGCAAGAAUGUGGUGUAAGAAGUGAAAAGCCUAUUGAUGUGUUGAGAAGAGUACCUGGAAAUGACAAAUGUGCUGAUUGUGGUGCGCUUGAACCAGACUGGGCAUCCUUAAACCUUGGUGUUCUCAUGUGCAUUGAAUGUUCUGGCGUUCAUCGUAAUCUUGGUGUACAUAUAUCAAAGGUAAGGUCAUUAACACUUGAUGUCAAAGUUUGGGAGCCAUCUGUCUUAAAUUUGUUUCAGUCACUAGGCAAUAUUUAUGCAAACUCGAUUUGGGAGGAAUUGUUGCAUUCAGGAACUUCUUUUACAGCUGAUGAAAUGUCCAAGGGUUUUUCAAGGUCUGAUAGACAGAAGGUUUUCCAUAUAAGAAAACCAAGUCAUGAUGAUUCUAUUUCUGUUAAGGAGCACUUCAUUCAUGCAAAGUAUGCAGAAAAAAUAUUUAUGCGCACGAUUAAGGACGACAAGAAUCUCCUUUCAGUGGCACAACAGGUGUGGGAAAGUGUCCAUGCCAAUGACAAGAAAGCAGUUUACCACCAAAUUGUCUGCUCAGGAGUAGAUGUCAAUGCCAUCCAUGGGCAAGCAUCAUUCAGUGACUCUUUGGACAAGCCCUUGGCAAGCUAUGUGAAGCCAUUAAAUAAAACUGAAGAUCAGGUCAUAAAGGAUUUUACAGAUGGUUGUUCUCUGCUUCACCUUGCCUGCCUAAAUGCUGACAUGGGCAUGGUAGAGCUACUCCUACAAUAUGGUGCAAACAUCAAUGCUUCUAAUUCGAAAGGUCAGACACCACUGCAUCAAUGCAUCAUUAACAGGAGACCUGCCAUUGCAAAGUUGCUUCUUAUGAGGGGAGCAGAUCCUCAAGCUGUUGACAGAGUAGGAAAUACUGCUUUUCAACUUUUAUCCCAAUCAGCCCUUGAUGACAGUGAGCUUGUUGUUCUAUUAGCAAAGUAAACGAUAACCACUCAAAAUUUAGAGAAUGUAGGAGUCAAAGAGCAGAAUGAAGAGGCAUUUUGUAUCAUAUACAGAAAACCGUCAACCCGGUUUCCUUGAAAAAUGGACCAAACUUUGUUGUUGCAGUGGUUGGCUAGCUAGGCCAUGUAUAAUUUUCUCACCUCUUGAGUGUAUACAAGUUUAGUCUAUGUUAGGUGCCUGCCUUUCAGGUUGCCUCAUUUUCCUACUGGGGCUUUUGGCACGUUUUAAAGUUUCUCACAUGGUUUUAUACAAGCUAUUCAAAUUAUUCUUUCUGAGAGUGAGUUUCAGUUGAAUCAUACUGCAGGAAAUGUGAAAACCACUACAUAAAAUAAACAAGGCUCAUCCCCCAGGAAUUGUGCU
rnacentral:misc_RNA from 1 species